CUAAGGCGAGGCCGACAGGCGUAGUCGAUGGAUGACGGGUUGAUAUUCCCGUACCCGUGUGCGUGCGACAAGUGAUGAAUCUUAUGGUACUAACCACCCGCUUGUUUCCGCUAAUCUUUUUGGUUGGUGGUUGCAGGUGCGUGGGAUCUUCGUGGGUAGUAGUCAAGUGAUGGGGUGACGCAGAGUGGUAGCUAGGCUUCCUUAUUGGAUUGGAGUGCAAGCGUGUGGCCUGUGGGGUUGGGAAAUCCGCCCCGCAUUAAGGGUGAGGCGUGAUGCGGACACCAUGUUGUGGUGGUAGUUAGUGUGCCUGUGCUGUCUAGAAAAGCCUCUAGCGAGUGCGUGCAUGGCCCGUACCGGAAACCGACACAGGUGGUCAGGUAGAGAAUACUAAGGCGUUCGGGUGAACUGUGGUUAAGGAACUCGGCAAAAUGCCCCCGUAACUUCGGGAGAAGGGGGACCAUUACUGGUUGCUGACAGCAAGAAAGCUGGUGGUGGUCGCAGAGGAGAGAGGGAAGCGACUGUUUAUUAAAAACACAGGUCCGUGCGAAAACGUGGAAGUUGAGGUAUACGGACUGACGCCUGCCCGGUGCUGGAAGGUUAAGAGGACCCGUGAGCACGCCUUAUGUGUGUGCGAGGCGGAGAAUUGAAGCCCCAGUAAACGGCGGUGGUAACUAUAACCAUCCUAAGGUAGCGAAAUUCCUUGUCGGGUAAGUUCCGACCUGCACGAAUGGCGUAACGACUUCCCUGCUGUCUCAACCACAGGCCCGGUGAAAUUGCAGUACGAGUAAAGAUGCUCGUUUCGCGCGGCAGGACGAAAAGACCCCGGGACCUUUACUAUAGCUUGGUAUUGGUGUUUGGUCAUGCUUGUGUAGGAUAGGUGGGAGACUGUGAAGCCGCAACGCUAGUUGUGGUGGAGUCGCAGGUGAAAUACCACUCUGGUGUGAUUGGGUACCUGAACCUUGGCCCGUGAUCCGGGUUGGGGACAGUGCCUGGUGGGUAGUUUAACUGGGGCGGUUGCCUCCUAAAUGGUAACGGAGGCGCCCAAAGGUUUCCUCAGUCUGGUUGGCAAUCAGAUGGUGAGUGUAAGUGUAUAAGGGAGCUUGACUGUGACACUGACGGGUGGAGCAGGUGCGAAAGCAGGGACUAGUGAUCCGGCAUCUACGUGUGGUUGUGGUGUCGCUCAACGGAUAAAAGGUACCCCGGGGAUAACAGGCUGAUCUUCCCCAAGAGUUCAUAUCGACGGGAUGGUUUGGCACCUCGAUGUCGGCUCGUCGCAUCCUGGGGCUGGAGUAGGUCCCAAGGGUUGGGCUGUUCGCCCAUUAAAGCGGCACGCGAGCUGGGUUUAGAACGUCGUGAGACAGUUCGGUCUCUAUCCGCCGCGCGCGUUGAAACUUGAAGAAGGCUGUCCCUAGUACGAGAGGACCGGGAUGGACGUACCUCUGGUAUGCCAGUUGUCACGCCAGUGGCAUGGCUGGUUAGCUACGUGCGGGAGGGAUAACCGCUGAAAGCAUCUAAGCGGGAAGCCUGUUUUGAGAUGAGGUUUCUGUUGAGGUUCCCUGUAGAUGAUGGGGUUGAUAGGCCAGGGCUGUGAGCAUGGUGACGUGUUGGAGGUGACUGGUACUAAUACACCGACACAAAAAACACA
rnacentral:rRNA from 1 species